CGGCCCGUACCCUAAACCGACUCAGGUGGUCAGGUAGAGAAUACCGAGGCGUUCGGGUGAACUAUGGUUAAGGAACUCGGCAAAAUGCCCCCGUAACUUCGGGAGAAGGGGGGCCAUUGCUGGUGAUCCGCCUUGCGCGGUGAGCUGGUGGUGGCCGCAGAGACCAGCGAGAAGCGACUGUUUACUAAAAACACAGGUCCGUGCGAAGCCGUAAGGCGAUGUAUACGGACUGACGCCUGCCCGGUGCUGGAACGUUAAGGGGACCGG
rnacentral:rRNA from 1 species